AAGGUCGCUGGUUCGAUUCCAGCAUGAGGCACCGAAACUUUUUGCUAGUUAUGAUCCCUAUUUGGCUUCGUGCCAGAAACCU
rnacentral:miRNA from 1 species